rnacentral:lncRNA from 1 species
AGAUAUUGAUGCUAACGUAAAUAUUUUGUUCAAUAAAAAGACAGGAAAUAAGUCGGUGAACCAAAAAGUUCAAAUCUAAUUGAAAGUUAAAGUGCCCAUGAACUCACUGAUCAUGCACGAGUGAUUCUAUUCAUAAAAAGUGUCCGUGUAACAACUAAAAAGAGUCCGUGUAUCGUCUAAAAAGAGUCCGUGUAACACCCGUUAAUGUACUGUUUUUCUAUAGCUCUGCGGGGGG